GCGGUGGAGCAUGUGGUUUAAUUCGAAGCAACGCGAAGAACCUUACCAGGUCUUGACAUCCCUGACAACCCGAGAGAUCGGGCGUUCCCCUUCGGGGGACAGGGAGACAGGUGGUGCAUGGUUGUCGUCAGCUCGUGUCGUGAGAUGUUGGGUUAAGUCCCGCAACGAGCGCAACCCCUACGUUUAGUUGCUAACGCGUGAAGGCGAGCACUCUAGACGAACUGCCGUUGACAAAACGGAGGAAGGUGGGAUGACGUCAAAUCAUCAUGCCCCUUAUGUUCUGGGCUACACACGUGCUACAAUGGCCGGUACAGACGGACGCAAAGCCGCGAGGUGGAGCAAAUCCUAAAAAGCCGGUCUCAGUUCGGAUUGCAGGCUGCAAUUCGCCUGCAUGAAGUCGGAAUCGCUAGUAAUCGCAGGUCAGCAUACUGCGGUGAAUACGUUCCCGGGGCUU
rnacentral:rRNA from 1 species